rnacentral:lncRNA from 1 species
CUUGGCUCCAUCUUUGACUGUACUAGCUUUACUCCUAUUGUGAUUCUGUUGUUGAUCACCGUUGCUAGGGACACUAUCCACACAAUUGGACUGGAGUUUGAUUUUGACGUCAGCCAGCGGGAUCAUGUCCUAUUAGAACCUAAUCUUCAAAGGUGAAGAGGAAUCCAUUUUCAUUAUGGGUCACCGAGAGGUCUUUGCUAUUAAUCCGCAUGUUAAUAACAUUUUCCUCAAAUGAUUUGACAUAGUCUCCAUUUACAGAUUCUUUCUGGAGUGUGUCUUCUGUGGUUAUGGUGUUUAAAUGGAUACCGUGGAUAUGUAUCUUCUGGGUUAAAUGUUAAGUUAACACAGACAUGAAGCAGACAGACAUUGUCAAGGGGAAUAGAUAUGAGCCCUAGGACCAUGCCUCAGGACUACCUGGCUUGAUGACUCCUUGCUGUCCCCAGUUCACCUGGCCGUGCUGCUGCUCCAGUUCCAACUGUUCUGCCUGCAGCUAUGGAACCCUGACCUGUUCACCGGACGUGCUACCUGUCCCAGACCUGUUGUCCCAGACCUGCUGGAACCCUGACCUAUUCACCGGACGUGCUACCUGUCCCAGACCUGCUGUUUUCAACUCUCUAGAGACAGCAGGAGUGGUAGAGAUACUCUCAAAGAUCGGCUAUGAAAAAGCCAACUGACACUUACUCUUGUGUUACUGACUUGUUGCACCCUCGACAACUACUAUGAUUAUUAUUAUUUGACAAUGCUGGUAAUUUAUGAACAUUUGAACAUCUAGGCCAUGUGCUGUUAUAAUCUCC